CCUCAUUAGCAGAUAAAUAACUACAAUCGAAGAAAAUACUCUGUUCUUGAAUUUCAAUCAUUUCUUUUACAACCCUUGUUGUAUCUUGAGUAUUGGAGGUUGUGGUUUUGCUUUUGUCGAUUAAAAUGGUUGCUUUAUCCACUUCUUUUGUAACAUAUUUGAAGAGAUAUUUGAUAGCAUUUGAAGUAUUACACCAUUCCACAUUUUUGAGGUUGUAAAUGGAGUCACACUUAAAACCCUUUUGGUAGUGGAAUCGCCGGUUUGCAGAUAUGAAUCCUUGCACUACGUUUAAUUGUAGAAUGAAUGAUUAGUUUGGAUUCGUGUUGGGUA